rnacentral:rRNA from 1 species
GUUAAGUCCCGCAACGAGCGCAACCCCUGUCCUUAGUUGCCAGCAUUAAGUUGGGCUCUCUAAGGAGACUGCCGUGGUUAACACGGAGGAAGGUGGGGAUGACGUCAAGUCCUCAUGGCCUUUAUAUCCAGGGCGACACACGUGAUACAAUGGACGGUACAGAGGGAAGCGAAAGCGCGAGCUGGAGCCAAUCUCAAAAAGCCGUUCUCAGUUCGGAUUGGAGUCUGCAACUCGACUCCAUGAAGUUGGAAUCGCUAGUAAUCGCGGAUCAGCACGCCGCGGUGAAUACGUUCCCGGGCCUUGUACACACCGCCCGUCACACCACGAAAGCUGAUUGCACCAGAAGUCGUUGGGCUAACCCGCAAGGGAGGCAGGCGCCUAAGGUGUGGUUGGUAAUUGGGGUGAAGUCGUAACAAGGUAGCCGUAGGGGAACCUGCGGCUGGAUCACCUCCUUU